CCGAGGAGUGCAGUGCACAGGGUCUC
rnacentral:misc_RNA from 1 species